AUGGAUGGCAUCCUUGUACUUUUCUUCCUUGAAAUAGGAGUUGCCAAUUCGAGCAUAAGCUUUGGCAAUCUGUCGAUAGUCUUCUCGGUUUUCUCGCCCCACUUCGAUGGCCUUCUCACAAAGCUCCCGGCAUUUACUGUAGUCACCCUUCUCGAAGUACACGGCUGCUUGAUUGGUCAUGUAAGUCAUGUUGGUGGGGUCCAGGUCCUUGGUUCGGUCAUAGUGCUUCAAGGCUGUGUCAAAGUCUUUCUUCUUGUAGGCUUCGUUCCCCAGCUCUUUCUCUUUCAGCGCCUGCUUCUUAUUCUCUGGAAGAUCUUCUUCCAUUGGCUCUGGCUUGGUGUCCUUCUUGGGAGGAGGAGGUGGGGGAGGUGUUCCAACUUCCUCCUCCUCAUCCAUACUGCCCAGAUCCACACCCAGCAGGACGCUCAGAGUAGUCAUGAUCCGGGGAUCUUGCAGUUGCUCUAUCAGCUCCCGGUAGGCAGGAUCAGCGAGCAGUGUCCUUGUCCUGGGAUCACUCUCCAAUUUCUGGUACAGAUUGGGCAUGUUGAAAGGGUUCAUGAAUUUCCGUUCUGCCAACCGAGCCUCCAUAUUCUGUAAGCCCUCUUUGAGCUGAGGAUUAUUUGCUUCAUGUUUUAAACCCUCUUCGUAGGUUCGCUUGGCUUCUUCAAAUCGGUUUAAGAACUCAAGGGCUGCAGCCUUCCUCGAAUAGCCCUUGCCCCAGUCGGGCUUUAAGUCCACGGUUUUGCAGCCAUCCUCAUAAGCCUUCUGGUAGUCCCCUUUCUUGGCGUAGGCUGCGGAGCGAUUGCUAUAGAGCACAUGGUUCUGGGGAUCUAACUUAAUGGCCUCAGAGUAGCACUGCAGUGCGUCAUCAAUGUUGCCCGCACUCAGGGCCUUAUUGCCCUUCUCUUUCAGCUCAUUUACCUGCUCCAUAGCCCAGCCCGGAACCCCGUUGAAUCGACUCCGUCCACUCCGCGUUCCCAACCGCCCAGAUCUCUUCUCAGAGCCUCCAGAAGGAAGCAGCGCUGCUGACACCUUGACUUUAGCCCAAGAAAAUUAAUUUGGGACUUCUGAAGUCCAGAACUGUAAGAGAAUACAUUUUUGUAAUUUUAAGCCACCACGUUUGCAGUAC
rnacentral:lncRNA from 1 species